rnacentral:rRNA from 1 species
GAUGAACGCUGGCGGCGUGCAUAACACAUUCAAGUCGAACGGUGAAGGGGGCUUCGGCCCCUGAUCAGUGGCGGACGGGUGAGUAACGCGUGAGCAACCUGCCCUUGUGUGGGGGAUACCGUCUGGAAACGGACGUUAAUACCGCAUAAUGUAGCGACGGGGCAUCCCGAUGCUACCAAAGAUUUAUUGCUGAAAGAUGGUCUCGCGUCUGAUUAGCUAGUUGGUGAGGUAACGGCUCACCAAGGCGACGAUCAGUAGCCGGCCUGAGAGGGUGAACGGCCACAUUGGGACUGAGACACGGCCCAAACUCCUACGGGAGGCAGCAGUGGGGAAUAUUGCACAAUGGGGGAAACCCUGAUGCAGCGACGCCGCGUGAGUGAAGAAGUAAUUCGUUACGUAAAGCUCUAUCAGCAGGGAAGAAAAUGACGGUACCUGACUAAGAAGCCCCGGCUAACUACGUG